rnacentral:misc_RNA from 1 species
GAUGAAGAACGUAGCGAAAUGCGAUAAGUAGUGUGAAUUGCAGAAUUCAGUGAAUCAUCGAAUCUUUGAACGCACAUUGCGCCCUUUGGUAUUCCAAAGGGCAUGCCUGUUCGAGCGUCAUUUGUACCCUCAAGCUUUGCUAGGUGUUGAGCGUCUUGUCUCUAGCUUUGCUGGAGACUCGCCUUAAAGUAAUUGGCAGCCGGCCUACUGGUUUCGGAGCGCAGCACAAGUCGCACUCUCUAUCAGCAAAGGUCUAGCAUCCAUUAAGCCUUUUUUUUCAACUUUUGACCUCGGAUCAGGUAGGGAUACCCGCUGAACUUAAGCAUAUCAAUAAGCGGAGGA